ACACGUAGGCCAGGUUUAGUUAAAGUUUCAUUCGAAAAAUACCAAGAAAAAUCCAUUACCGAAAGAACGGAAGCAGCAUGAAAGAAGGUUGGUCAAAAAAGUACCAAAAUAUCUCUUCAGGCACGUAAAAUUCAAAGCCAUCGUUCUGUAAGUCCUAAGAUAUAAAAGCACAAUCAUUCAUAGGAAAUGUGAUGGAAAAGUUAGACAAAAACUGUAGAUGAAACAUAUUAAAAUACACUGCAUCUUCCUUUCGAAGUAAGUUACAAUAUCAAUAUAUCAAUCAACAAUAUCAGCAACAUGUUGUUACGUACUAUACGUAAAUAUCGACUUACAUUUACAAAAUAGCCUUUGAAUUUUCCCAUUUUGUGCAUUCGUUUCGAGGUUAUCAUCGUUUGAUACGAGAAAGUUCCAAUUCGCCUUUCGCAUCAACUUGGUUCUACAUCGCAUUUGCCAUAAACGAUUGCGCUUAAAGAGAACGAUGCCUCGUUGGAAUUUUAGACGCUCGAAGGCCUAGAAAUUUGCCAUUCUUUUCACCAACUCCUGGCAUACACAACCAGGACAUCGAUUCCGCGGAAAUUCGCGCACAGAAGAAAAAUGCAGGACGAGGCAGAGACGCAUCGUGGCACAAAGAGGAAUUGGACGGACUUUGCCGCGCACAAAGCGGCCACAAGACCGGGAACCACGGUGCAAAUAGUUAAUUGACGGUGGAAGACAGUUUAAUAGUUGUUAUUGGCCUUAACACGUUGACUGCGAUCCAAACUUUUUUUUACACUUUGUCCUGGAAAUCGUAGCAGAUGAAAGUACAUUAUCAAAAAUUUAGUGACGUGGUUUAUCGAUGAUCGCCGUGGCAGACAACGCGUUAAUCGAAAUUAAAAUCAAGGUCGAGAAAAAUUAUACUGCGAUAAACUUGAACCGACUAUAUUACAGAUCUAACUUAAGGAAAAUCAAUCUAACUCACAAGAUCUAAAUCACUGACAUUCUAAUUGGACGUUUUGUGAAUGGCUUUUGAGACA